rnacentral:rRNA from 1 species
UACGUAGGAUGCAAGCGUUGUCCGGAAUUAUUGGGCGUAAAGAGCUCGUAGGCGGUUCGUCGCGUCUGCUGUGAAAACUCAGGGCUUAACCCUGAGCUUGCAGUGGGUACGGGCAGACUAGAGUGCGGUAGGGGAGACUGGAAUUCCUGGUGUAGCGGUGAAAUGCGCAGAUAUCAGGAGGAACACCGGUGGCGAAGGCGGGUCUCUGGGCCGUAACUGGACGCUGGAGGAGCGAAAGCAUGGGGAGCGAACAGG